GAUGAACGCUGGCGGCGUGCAUCACACAUUCAAGUCGAACGGAUGUAGCAAUACAUCAGUGGCGGACGGGUGAGUAACACGUGAGCAACCUGCCUUUUAGAGGGGGAUAACACAGGGAAACUUGUGCUAAUACCGCAUAACACACCAAGUGGGCAUCCACAUGGUGUCAAAGGAGCAAUCCGCUAAGAGAUGGGCUCGCGUCCGAUUAGGUAGUUGGUGAGGUAACGGCUCACCAAACCGACGAUCGGUAGCCGGACUGAGAGGUUGAACGGCCACAUUGGAACUGAGAAACGGUCCAGACUCCUACGGGAGGCAGCAGUGGGGAAUAUUGGGCAAUGGAGGGAACUCUGACCCAGCGACGCCGCGUGAAGGAAGAAGGUCUUCGGAUUGUAAACUUAUGUCAGCAGGGAAGAAGCAAGUGACGGUACCUGCUAAGGAAGCCACGGCUAACUACGUGCCAGCCGCCGCAGUAAGAC
rnacentral:rRNA from 1 species